UAAAAGGGGGCAAAUAACUGUUGCGAUACAUAAAAAGAAACAGCAUUAAACAGCGAACUUAUCGUGACAAAAAAAAAAAAAAAAAAAAAAAAAAAAAAAAAAAAAAAAAAAACAGCGAACUGAAUAAACACUUUGAAAUCCCAUGUUCUUGAGUGAUGUAGCGCUGGCUUAAAGACGCUUUGUGUUUGUAUCUCUUUGAAGAGGUAACAAUUUGCGUAAGUUCUCAACUUGAUGUAUUUUAUAGUUCCUAAAAACUUCCGGUAGAUUUACAUUGUCAGUGUCAUGACCGAGAAAAUUUUUCAGGAAUUUACCUAAUGUGUGGUAUUCUGUUUCAGGUAGCCGUAAAUUCAAAGGCCGAAAAUUUUCUUUCCACGGGUCACCAAAUUUACCAGUCAAACGAGCACCUAAACCUUUCACCUGAAAAGUCCUGCUUCUCCCAAGUAUCUUUCAAGUGAGAAGACCCUCAAAGGUGAAGGAAUGAAGCAAAUCAUUUCAGAUAAAUUAAUCGUGGACAAUAUAGAAUUUCCCAAUUCUAUGAAUGCUGAAGAGGUCUAUGUGAAAGCAGCCCUCCUCAGUCGCGGAUUCAAAAUCUGCCGGGCAAGAAUUAGGCACGGAUAUCAUUCAUCUAAUGGAUCCUGAGGGGAUCGUGCAGAGGCAGAAACCAAAAAUAUGCAGAGGAGUUUAUUCAGUGUUGUUCUAAGAGAGUGUAAGAUUUUGAUGACCCCCCUAGUAGCAGCCUUUGUAAAAAAAAACGUAAAAAAAAUAUAAAAAUUUGUAAAACGAAGUAAAAUUUACAUGAUUAUUUUUUUACGUAAAAAUUACGUAAAAAAAAACUUGAAAAUUUUGUCGGAUAAAUUUACGUAAAAAAAAUGGUAAAAAAAUUUAAAUUUACGUAAAAAAUUGUCCUGUGUGGAUAGCUUUUUAUAUACCAAACUCUAAUUAGUCCAGGGCAGGCUUUUAGAGCUGAGGUUUGAGGCAGCAUCAUAAACGGAGCGGCAUCGGCGCGCGAGGCGGAGGUCCGGCGCGGACUAUCAUGCCGCGUCGAACAGUGCGCCGGGGAAGCGCAUUUGCCGUUGAGGCGGCUUCACCUGGUGAAGCCGACACCCGGCUCUCUUUCUGAUGCUGCAUCAGUUUUGAUGCUGAGUCCAGCAUCAAAUUGAGGCGGCUUCAAUUAGCAGACACGUCGGACGCCAGCGCCCCGGACCCGGCUGCCGGUCGGCUAAUUGCACCGGGCUGUGUUUUCAACCCUUCCUCGGCGUCCACUUCGUAGAACUUCUCGGCGAGGCGUGCGGGCCGCCGCCAAGACAAAGGGGUGUUCCGCGAAUUCAUCGCCAAGUCCGAAGGUCGCGGUCUUCUGGGACAGCCCCGUCGGUAAUUAAGCUGGGUGGCGGGUCCGAAAACUGAGGCCGUAUCGGGCCGCGAGCCGAGGGUCCGGCCUCAAGAGUUGAAGUCCAUGUUGGUCCCUGAUGCUGAGGUUUGAUGCUGGCUCCAGCAUCAAACCUCAGCAUCAGCGCUUGAGGCUGGCUUGGUCGGCAUGUCAGCAUCGGGCAUCGAUGCCCGAAGCCGGCUCCGGCAGGUUGCGCGCAUAAGGCGCGGAGCCGUAUGCCCGCACGGCCGCUACCUGGGCAUACGGCAUUAAUGCUGAUGCUACGAGUCGAUGCUGUACGGCAUAACCUCAUGAGGCGCCUCAAAUGCCUGGUCCAGGCGCCUGGUAGCUAAAAAUGAGGCUACCUGGAAUUUUGGGUACACAGCGAUUUUUUUGGCUUACUUUAUGUUUUUUGGGUCGCUGAAUCCGAAUCUGAGGUUUCCUACCGCGUAUCUGGUGAGCAUUUUCCGCCAUUUUGAAAAAAUGGCCUAAAAAGGCCUUUUUUUGCGGUUUUUUUAAUGUAGCGGCUACGCAUGAGAAAAAUCCCGGAUUUAGCUAAUGUUUUGAAUAGCUGACAAAAUUUGGAAGAAAAUGGUGUAUACAUAUGCUAGGUUUGCUUAAAAAUUGAGGAAGAUACAGCAUCGUGAACAUCGCGCCCAUUCACGUUUUCGCGGCGCACCCGUCAAUGCGUGAUCCGGCUCGCCGCGGUCAGCUAAGUUCCGAAGCGUUCCAAAGUUCCGAAAUCCGAGGUUCCUCAAUUUUUGAGCAAACCUAGCAUGUUCAUAUACCAUUUUCUUCCAAAUUUUGUCAGCUAUUCAAAACAUUAGCUUAAUCCGGGAUUUUUUCUCAUGCGUAGCCGCUAUAUCAAAAAAACCGCAAAAAAAGGCCUUUUUAGGCCAUUUUUUCAAAAUGGCGGAAAAUGCUCACCAGAUACGCGGUAGGAAACUUCAGAUUCGGAUUCAGCGACCCAAAAAACAUAAAGUAAGCCAAAAAAAUCGCUGUGUACCCAAAAUUCCAGGUAGACUUACCAGGCGCCUGGACUAAAUCCCUUCUUACUAUCUGGUUUUUUUCAGUCGAUUUAUGAAG
rnacentral:lncRNA from 1 species